rnacentral:rRNA from 1 species
UGCAUCUAGAUUGCGGAUCCGCGGCCGCAGAGUUUGAUCCUGGCUCAGAUUGAACGCUAGCGGGAUGCUUUACACAUGCAAGUCGAACGGCAGCACGAGAGAGCUUGCUCUCUUGGUGGCGAGUGGCGGACGGGUGGGUAAUAUAUCGGAACGUGCCCAGUAGCGGGGGAUAACUACUCGAAAGAGUGGCUAAUACCGCAUACGCCCUACGGGGGAAAGGGGGGGAUUCUUCGGAACCUCUCACUAUUGGAGCGGCCGAUAUCGGAUUAGCUAGUUGGUGGGGUAAAGGCUCACCAAGGCAACGAUCCGUAGCUGGUUUGAGAGGACGACCAGCCACACUGGGACUGAGACACGGCCCAGACUCCUACGGGAGGCAGCAGUGGGGAAUUUUGGACAAUGGGGGAAACCCUGAUCCAGCCAUCCCGCGUGUAUGAUGAAGGCCUUCGGGUUGUAAAGUACUUUUGGCAGAGAAGAAAAGGUAUCUCCUAAUACGAGAUACUGCUGACGGUAUCUGCAG